UGGCCCAGAUCGUUUACCGUGAAAAAAUUAGAGUGUUCAAAGCAGGCAGAUCCAAUUUUCUGCCACCGAAUACAUUAGCAUGGGAUAAUGGAAUAGGACCCUGUCCUCCUAUUUUCAGUUGGUUUUGGCAGCGCGAGGACUAGGGUAAUGAUUAAUAGGGAUAGUUGGGGGCAUUAAUAUUUAAUUGUCAGAGGUGAAAUUCUUGGAUUUAUGAAAGAUUAACUUCUGCGAAAGCAUCUGCCAAGGAUGUUUUCAUUAAUCAAGAACGAAAGUUAGGGGAUCGAAGACGAUCAGAUACCGUCGUAGUCUUAACCAUAAACGAUGCCGACCAGCGAUUAGGAGACGUUGAAUACAAAACACCACCAUCGGCGCGGUCGUCCUUGGCGUCUGUCCCUUUCAACGGGGGCAGGCGCGAGGGCGGUUUAGCCCGGUGGCACCGGUGAAUGACUCCCCUAGCAGCUUGUGAGA
rnacentral:rRNA from 1 species